UACAGAGGGUGCGAGCGUUGUCCGGAAUCACUGGGCGUAAAGGGCGCGUAGGUGGUGGCUUAAGCGUGCGGUGAAAGCUCGGGGCUCAACCCCGAGUCGGCCGGUGCGAACUGGGCUCACUGGAGCAUAGUAGAGGCAGGUGGAAUUCCGGGUGUAGCGGUGGAAUGCGUAGAGAUCCGGAAGAACACCGGUGGCGAAGGCGGCCUGCUGGGCUAUGGCUGACACUGAGGCGCGACAGCGUGGGGAGCAAACAGG
rnacentral:rRNA from 1 species